GGGGCGCCCUCGCUUUGUUUCACAACUUCUAAAGAAAGGAAAUUGUAUGAGAGGACAGAUUCUGACUUUCUCAGGAAGGGAGAAACCCCUUCCCACCAGACCUCAGAAAAAGGGAAUCGCCCUCCUCCCCAACGCUGUCGCGAAAAUAAUCUUGGGGGAACUAGGGACAGGGGGUUGGAGGUAGGAGGGAUAUAGCUUUAUAUGAGGCCCACUAAAAAACAGGCCCAGCAGGCGAUGCUUUUCCUUCCGCCUUUUGGAAAGCUCAGAUUGCUUAGUUGGAAACUGUGCACGUCUCCCUCGCACACACCGAUUCCAGUCCCAAGUAAGCAGAAGGGCCCUUUACCCGCUUCCGCGGACCAAGGUCACUAAACAAUGGCAUGCCAUCCCACAACAGCCGUCAGUCCUGCCCGCUCUAGAGGAUCUCCCUCGCCAACCUCCAGGGAGUUUCCAUUGGUUUUAUUUUUUUCGCCUGUCCUCGGUCCUGGGUGAUAGACUCUAGCAUGGAUUUUAAUUGUCGCAACCGAUAGUCUUUCUCCCCAGCCUUCACUCAGAACCUGGACGGUGGCUCUGGCGACCAAGAUCUUGAAAGAACAGGAAUGGUGCGCCCCCGGGGACCGCGCGGCUCAGUGGGCCGGCAUAAGGCUCUACUAAGGAGCUGAAAGCAGUCCAUCAGUGCGUUGGCACCUUUCCCCCACUGUCCCCUCCUCAAGCUCACGAGCAGCUCUAUUCCAGCCCUACCGCCGGGGCUAUCGAGGUCACAACGACCUCAGCAUCCUCUUGGAGAAGGCGGCGCGGGAACCGCGGCUUCUUUCCCGCAGCCGGAGCCACACCUCAAAUGAUAUGGCAAUGGACGCGAAUAUAUGACUCGCCACGGCCACCCUUCCUACCCAGCCAAGGUCUCUGUGAUCUGCCCCCGCCAGGCCAGCGCUGUCAGCCGCGUUAGCACUCUGGACAGCGCACCCGGCCCGCGGCCGCUGCCCUCUCCCCGCGCUCAGCAGGGGCUUGCCUGAGCGCCUCCCACGCACUCGCUCUGACUCCAGCUCGUGGGCAUUUCCUGCCUCACCCUCCCUCUCUCGUUUUUUCCCUCCGCCGCCCCCUCAUUCGUCCCUAUUGGUCUCCUUCAGAAUCACUCGGGCGCUCCGCGCUUUCCCAUCUUCUGGCUGCGGGGACCCAUCCGUCCCCUUCCCAAUUUAACCUCCUGUUUUCAGAGCGUUGCCACGUCUCCAAGCCCUAACCCCACACAUACACGCGCGCACGCAGACACGCACGCUUCCUGUCCCUGUGUGACACCCAUCUUCAACGGCGCGGUGCCCCCCUCUCGCCACACUCACACACGCACGCGCGCUCGGGCCGAGCAGAGGGCAGCUCGCCGACAGUUCGCACUCGGAGGAGACGCGCUCCGGUCUAGCAGCGCCGAUGGCAUCUCCGGGCUCCGGCUUUUGGUCCUUCGGGUCUGAAGAUGGCUGCGGGGACCCCGAGAACCCCGGCACAGCGAGAGCUUGGUGUCAGGUGGCCCAGAAGUUCACGGGCGGCAUCGGAAACAAGCUGUGCGCCCUGCUCUAUGGAGAUGCCGAGAAGCCAGGAGAGAGCGGCAGGAGC